AAAGGGUUUCCAGGUCUUCCGGGACUUCCUGGAAACAAGGGGAUGAAAGGUAUGCAGGGAAUUGCUGGAGCAAAGGGACUGAAAGGACACAGAGGCCCCCAACAUGUGCCACUGUCAACGCUCCCCUGCAUCGAAGCUGUGAAUAGGAAGCUAACUUCAGCCACAGAAUAAGAAGGUGCGAAUGAGAGGCUGCUUGGCGCCCCAUCCUGGGUUGCUCCCUGCCUUGAGCCCGCAGCCUCCUGGAUAGGCUCUGGACACCCGGUUUCAGAAAAUGGAUGGAUGAAUGAAGCCAAACAAAUGUGUGAACUGUGAAUAAGUAACGAAUUUCAGCCUCGUCAGCCUCAUACGGCAGUUAUUGUUGAAUUUUGCUUAACAUGAAUUCCCUGCAAUGGUGAAUAAAAUACCUUUUAUUAGGAAAGAAUGCGCUGCCCAUUAAA